GACGAACGCUGGCGGCGUGCCUAAUACAUGCAAGUCGAACGAUGCAGUGAGGAGCUUGCUCUUAUUGGAUGAGAUGCGAACGGGUGCGUCACGCGUAGUCAACAUGCCUUGUAGAGAGGGAUGACUAUUGGAAAUGAUAGCUUAUACCGCAUAACUAUGGAUCACUCAUGUCUCUCACUUGAAAGGAGCUAUUGCUUCGCUUCAAGAUCGACCUGCGCUGUAUUAGCUAGUAGGUGAGGUAGUGGGUCAACCAGGCGACGAUACAUAACCGACCUGAGAGGGUGAUCGGCCACACUGGGACUGAGACACGGCCCAGCACCCUGAGGGAGGCAGCAGGAGGGAAUUUUCGCCGAAGGGGGCAAUGCGGAACGUGGGACGCCGGGCGAGAGAAGGAGGUUGUCGGGUCGUAAAAGUCAGGUAUAAGUCAAGGACGUAAGGGUGAGUUAAAAGUGCACACUAUGACGGUACCUGACCAAAAAGCGACGGCUAACUACGUG
rnacentral:rRNA from 1 species